GACGAACGCUGGCGGCGUGCUUAACACAUGCAAGUCGAACGGAUAGGCCCUGCCUUUCUGGGGUGCUCCCGUGGCGAACUGGUUAGUAACCCGUGAGUAACCUGCCCUUGACUUUGGGAUUACUUCAGGGAAAUGGGGCUAAUACCGGAUCGGAUCUCCUGCUGCAUGGUGUGGGUUGGAAAGUUUCGGCGGUUGGGGUUGUUCUUGCGGUUUAUCAGUUUGUUGGUGGGGUUGUGGCUUACCGAGGCUUUGCCGGGUAGCCGGCCUGCGAGGGUGACCGGCCACAUUGGGACUGGGAUACGGCCCAUACUCCUACGGGAGGCAGCAGUGGGGAAUAGUGCACGAUGGGCGGAAGCCUGAUGCAGCAACGCCGCGUGCUGGAUGACGGCCUUCGGGUUGUAAACCGCUUUCGCCUGUGACGAAGCGUGAGUGACGGUAAUGGGUAAAGAAGCACCGGCUAACUACGUG
rnacentral:rRNA from 1 species